rnacentral:lncRNA from 1 species
GUUUUUUGCCUGUUGUUUGCAAGAAUUUGGGUGUCGUUCAGUGGUGCUGGCAUCAGGCAGUGAUGCUCUCCAUGCUCUGAGCGCUUCCCUUUGUCUGUAUGGGUUAAUGAGUUAAUGCACCUGUGAGGCAGGUGGUGGACAUUAUCUCCCUUUCCAAUAUGAUGCUGCAGCAGGUAAGAGGGAGCAGGCACGGUGCUGGAGCCCUGGGCAUAAAACCAAGCUUUCCUCUUGUGUUUCUAAUCCUUCUUCUCCAAGUGAUGCUGCUGAGCGAUGGCCAGCAGCCGUGAACCCAUCCUGGUUGUGAUGUGUUUCUUCUGUGUAGCUGAGCAAAGAUGUUCCACAUGAAAAAUCAUCCUCCACUGGUUUCCUAAAUCCUGUGGCUCUUUCCCAUCCUGUUCCCCAGGUGGUUUGAGGGGGAGCUCCCCAGAUAUACGAGGUUAAUGGUGACUUUUUGUCCUGGCCGGGUCCUAUCCCGGGUGUCGCUGCGGUUGCUGAGCAUGGGGCUGCCAAGCUGGUGACUGGAGAGCAUGGAGGGGAAAAACAGCGGGGAAGGAGGCAGAGCCUCCCUGAAGUCCUGGCACCAUCCAUGGGGAGGUGGUGCCCACAGCCACGGCACGCGUCGCUGCUUGCUGGCGUCCUUCUCCAGCCACUUGGGAACGCAGGCACUAAGGGCACGCUGCAGAUUUCGGGGACAGAGAAAACCACCGCGGAAAACAAAAGCCGCAAAAGCAAAUACCGGCCCCAAACCGCCCCCCGCUAACCCGGGGGCUGCCCGGAGGUGGGUUUUGCCCCCCUCCCCCGACCGCAGGCAGGUGCCAGGCACAUGUUGGCGGAGGAAAUGAAAGCGCAGCUCGGAGCGGGGCUCUCUCCUCUUCUCCUUUCUUCCUGCCCGGGGAAAAACGCUCGGGGCUGGGGAGCGGCGCUGAAAUCCCGGGGCCGGGCGCUGCUGGUGGGGAGGGAAGAGGAGCAGAGGAGCAGAGAGCAUCCUCCUCCACGCCAAACACCCGCACCGGGACCACCCGCCAGAAGCAGGCGAUGUUGGAGCUGCUCUUCCCAGAAUUUCCCUUCUCCUAUCUCGCAGCCUGCUCGCCGCAGCGCUGGUUGAUGCGCCCGGGACGGAACAACUGGGAAAUAUUUGUGGGGACGCGCGGGUGACUUGUGCUGGUUGGGAUCGCGGGGCCUUCUUUAGGCAGCUCCUCUCAC